rnacentral:rRNA from 1 species
CAGGCCUAACACAUGCAAGUCGAACGAAGGCUUCGGCCUUAGUGGCGCACGGGUGCGUAACGCGUGGGAAUCUGCCCUUGGGUUCGGAAUAACAGCGAGAAAUUGCUGCUAAUACCGGAUGAUGACGUAAGUCCAAAGAUUUAUCGCCCAAGGAUGAGCCCGCGUAGGAUUAGCUAGUUGGUGAGGUAAAGGCUCACCAAGGCGACGAUCCUUAGCUGGGAUGAGAGGAUGAUCAGCCACACUGGGACUGAGACACGGCCCAGACGCCUACGGGAGGCAGCAGUGGGGAAGAUUGGACAAUGGGCGCAAGCCUGAUCCAGCCAUGCCGCGUGAGUGAUGAAGGCCUUAGGGUUUAAAGCGAUUUGAUACCGGGACGAGAAUGACGUGACCGGAGGAAGAAGCCCCGGCGAACUGAGUGCCAGCAGCCGCG